rnacentral:rRNA from 1 species
CUACGGGUGGCUGCAGUGGGGAAUCUUGGACAAUGGGCGCAAGCCUGAUCCAGCCAUGCCGCGUGAGUGAAGAAGGCCUUAGGGUCGUAAAGCUCUUUCGCCAGAGAUGAUAAUGACAGUAUCUGGUAAAGAAACCCCGGCUAACUCCGUGCCAGCAGCCGCGGUAAUACGGAGGGGGUUAGCGUUGUUCGGAAUUACUGGGCGUAAAGCGCGCGUAGGCGGAUUAGUCAGUCAGAGGUGAAAUCCCAGGGCUCAACCCUGGAACUGCCUUUGAUACUGCUAGUCUUGAGUUCGAGAGAGGUGAGUGGAAUUCCGAGUGUAGAGGUGAAAUUCGUAGAUAUUCGGGGGAACACCAGUGGCGAAGGCGGCUCACUGGCUCGAUACUGACGCUGAGGUGCGAAAGUGCGGGGAGCAAACAGGAUUAGAUACCCGUGUAGUC